rnacentral:rRNA from 1 species
CCUACGGGUGGCAGCAGUGGGGAAUAUUGCACAAUGGGGGAAACCCUGAUGCAGCAACGCCGCGUGAGCGAUGAAGGACGUCGGGUCGUAAAGCUCUGUCCUAAGGGAAGAAUACUUACGGUACCUUAGGAGGAAGCCCCGGCUAACGACGUGCCAGCAGCCGCGGUAAGACGUAGGGGGCAAGCGUUAUCCGGAAUCACUGGGUGUAAAGGGUGCGUAGGCGGUAGGGCAAGUCAGAUGUGAAAGCCCGGGGCUCAACCCCGGGAUUGCAUUUGAAACUGUCUUACUAGAGUGCAGGAGAGGAAAGCGCGAUGCCUAGUGUAGCGGUGAAAUGCGUAGAUAGUAGGAAGAACACCAGCUGCGAAGGCGGCUCUCCGGACUGUAACUGACGCUGAGGCACGAAAGCGUGGGGAGCGAACAGGAUUAGAUACCCUGGUAGUC